CCCACAUUGAAUGUCCUUACUCCCCCCACUAAGCCUAUCUGUAAAGGCAUUUGGAGCAAAUAACAAUAAGUGUCCACAUUUCUGGCAACUGCUGGCAUUCAGACUAGCCUAUAAACAAUGAACAGAAUUAAAAAUUGAUAAUUUUAUCAUUUUACUGUAUACAUUUGAAAUAAGCACACAGAUCCAUGCAUUUGCAGGAACUCCACAGAUGAACCAGCUGGCCUCCAACGCUGGAAGCGAGGAGGCUGCUGCUGCUGCUGGGGCUUGUAGCUAGAGGGCUGUUGCUGCUGGUGGCUAGGAGCCUGCUGCUGCUUGUAACUCCAGUUUUUUUUUUUUUUCACGAAAAGCUAUCAAUUUGAUUUUGUCUGCAUUUCUCCCAAGUACAUUAAAACUGACCCACAUCGUUUUGAACCCUACAUUAAGUGCAUUGCAAACAGUUAGGAAUAUCCACCAAGAGUGGUUUGCUUAGGGCCAUAAAUAUAUAUAAGUAAGGAGUGACGCAAAUUUCAAGAGGCAUUACCCUACACUGAGUGAUGCCAAACAUUAAAUGAUGAGCUUGCCCCUUUACACUAUAGGCCUAUCUGUAAAGGCAUUUUGAGAAAAAAAACAAUGCGUGUCAACUUUUCUGGCAACUGCUGGCAUUGGGACUAUAAACAGACAUUUAAAAUUGUCAAUUUUAUUAUUUUACUGUAUACAUUUGAAAUAGGUAUAAUGAAGGAACUCCAAAGAUGAACCAGCUAGCUGCUGCUUGCGCUGGUAACUAGGGGUCUUCUGCUGCUUAUGGUGGUGCUGGUUACUAGGAGUCUUCUGCUGCUGGUGGUCCUGGUAGCUAGGAGCCUGCUCCUGCUGCUGCGGCGGCUGCUGCUGCUGAUGGAGGUAGCUAGGAGCCUGCUGCGGCUGGUGGCUAGGAGCCUGCAGCUGCUGCUAGGGCUGGUGGUGGCUAGGAGCCUGCUGCUGGUAGCCAUUAGCCUGCUGCUGCUGGUGGGGCUGCUGCUGGGGCUGGGGCUUGUGAAAACUAGGAGCCUGGUGGUGGUGGUGGCGGCGGCAGUGGCUAGGAGCUCUCUGCUGCUGCUGGUGGUGGUGGUGGUGGCGAUGGCGGUGGCGGCUAAGAGCCUACCGCUGGUGGGGGUGGUAGUGGUGGUGGUGGUGGCGGUGGCGGCUAAGAGCCUACCGCUGGUGGUAGUGGUGGUGGUGGUGGUGGUGGUGGUGGCUACCAACGGUAGGCUUACCGUUGGUGGUGGUAGUGGUGGUGGCGGCGGCGGCUAGGAGCCUGCUUCUGCUGGCGAGGAGCCCGUUGCUGCUGGUGGCUAGAAGCCUGCUGCUGUUCGCUAGGAGCCUGCUGCUGCUGCUGGUGGUGGUGGUGCUGCUGGUGGUGCUGGUGGUAGCGGCAAGGAGCCUGCUGCUGCUAGUGGCUAGGAGCCUGCUGCUGCUGGUGGUGGCUAGGAGCCUGCUGCUGCUGGGGCUUGUGGCUAGGAGCCUGCUGCUGCUGGGGCUUGUGGCUAGGAGCCUGCUGCUGCUGGGGCUUGUGGCUAGGAGCCUGCUGCUGCUGGGGCUUGUGGCUAGGAGCCUGCUGCUGCUGGGGCUGCUGCUGGGGCUGCUGCUGGGGCUUGUAGCUAGGAGGCUGCUGCUGGGGCUUGCUAAGAGGCUGCUGAUGCUGGGGCUUGUAGCUAAGAGGCUGCUGCUGCUGGGCUUGUAGCUAGGAGGCUGCUGCUGCUGGGCUUGUAGCUAAUACAGUGAAAGGUUCAGCUGAACUGGCUGCAUAAAAUGCUUAUCGUAGGCCAACAAAAAAUAAAAAUAUGUAUAUAAAUGAGGUGAAACAGAUCUACAUGUAAAUCAGUAUGUAUCCCACCUCCAAUCCUGAUCAGGCCAAAGGACCAUAUCUACAACACAGCAGAGCUC
ensembl:lncRNA